rnacentral:rRNA from 1 species
GAUGAACGCUGGCGUCGUGCCUAAUACAUGCAAGUCGAGCGAAUGGAUUAAGAGCUUGCUCUUAUGAAGUUAGCGGCGGACGGGUGAGUAACACGUGGGUAACCUGCCCAUAAGACUGGGAUAACUCCGGGAAACCGGGGCUAAUACCGGAUAACAUUUUGAACCGCAUGGUUCGAAAUUGAAAGGCGGCUUCGGCUGUCACCUGUGGAUGGACCCGCGUCGCAUUAGCUAGUUGGUGAGGUAACGGCUCACCAAGGCAACGAUACGUAGCCGACCUGAGAGGGUGAUCGGCCACACUGGGACUGAGACACGGCCCAGACUCCUACGGGAGGCAGCAGUAGGGAAUCUUCCGCAAUGGACGAAAGUCUGACGGAGCAACGCCGCGUGAGUGAUGAAGGCUUUCGGGUCGUAAAACUCUGUUGUUAGGGAAGAACAAGUGCUAGUUGAAUAAGCUGGCACCUUGACGGUACCUAACCAGAAAGCCACGGCUAACUACGUGCCAGCCGCCGCCGUAA